UGGGGAAUUUUGGACAAUGGGGGCAACCCUGAUCCAGCAAUGCCGCGUGUGUGAAGAAGGCCUUCGGGUUGUAAAGCACUUUUUUCCGGGAAGAAAUCGCACCUGAUAAUACCGGGUGUGGAUGACGGUACCGGCAGUAUAAGGACCGGCUAACUACGUGCCAGCAGCCGCGGUAAUACGUAGGGUCCAAGCGUUAAUCGGAAUUACUGGGCGUAAAGCGUGCGCAGGCGGUUGUGCAAGACCGAUGUGAAAUCCCCGGGCUUAACCUGGGAAUUGCAUUGGUGACUGGACGGCUAGAGUGUGUCAGAGGGGGGUAGAAUUCCACGUGUAGGAGUGAAAUGCGUAGAGAUGUGGAGGAAUACGGAUGGCGAAGGCAGCCCCCUGGGAUAACACUGACGCUCAUGCACGAAAGCGUGGGGAGCAAACAGG
rnacentral:rRNA from 1 species